CUUUUUGGCUGUAGAAAACCCUUGCCUCUCAGAAAACUGUCUCACCUUGAUGAGUUUGAUAGGACUGCUGAUAAAAACCAUCAGUUGGCUUUCAGAUGCACCAACAUAGACUUGCUCAUCAUUCAGAGAUACAGUGCAGCUGCUUCCCAGGGACUACAGCCAAGAGACCUGUGUCUGCUGACUUCUCCUUGCAGAGGUUAAGCCUGCACACCUACAUCCCGAUCCAAGAGGGAAGCUGGUUGUGAUUCAGUAAUUGUCUGACCAGCAAUUACCAGGAAAAAAGGUUAUUGACACACUUGAGCCUUAUUUACAGAUGUGCAUUUCAGUGAUGCCAAUACAAAUAUAAAACUGUGUGUGCAUCACCAGGAUCCAGCUUUAUCCAUACACACAUAUGAACUUCUGAAGAUGUUCUGAUGGCUGGAUCUGUGCUGGAAAUUCCUGUGAGAGAGUGAGGUGUUGGGAGGAUGUGAGAAACACAAACUGAAGAAGGCAUGCUGAAAUUACUGAAAGAUAAGCCACCCAAAUGCACUCGCUACUGGUACAACAGCGUUUUGGGCUUUUUUCCUGAAUGACAGUAAAGAUGCCAGAAGGUUGCAGACUCUGUAGAAAAAUAUACACGUGCACCUGUGAUUCCAGCUACUAACCAACAGCUUGGAAUAAUGUCUUGGAUACAGGAAUUUCGAUGGCUCUUCUCUUGCCCACUUCCACCUCCCUUUCACUAAAUUGCUGAAGAGACUCUCUUUUAACUGUGGUGACUGUGAGAGACAGGCUCUUUCCACUGUGGGGGAAAAAAAAAUUAAUUCCCUGCCUCUGGAAAGCUGAUAGUCUUCAGCUUAAGUCUAAGUUGUCUUAAUGGGUUUUAGACUGCCAGAUAGCAGGCGUUCUGCUCUAUGACAACUCUGCUUUGGAAACUCACUGCACAGACCUAAUGGAAAUGGAUGUAAAGUUUAGUGAUUGUUAAACUGUGACGCUGAGAGACAGCACCCUCGAGGUAAAGUCCUCCAAAUGAACUGCAACUGAACAAUAGUUCAAGGAAACUUGUCAUCCAACCACCAGGAUCUGACAUUGCUUCUGACUGGCAGAAGAGAAGAUAAAAACACUUUAUGGAUUCCUGCAGCCAGAAGCAGAAUUUCCCAGUUUAGAGUGAAUGGAAAGCCCUUUGUGUGUGUGUAUGUUUUAUAUUUUAUCUUUGUAAAUACCUGAUUGUAUUGAUGUGCAAAGAACCCUAUUAAAAAGGUCAUGUUAAACAGCCACAACCCUUGUAGUAAAGAGUGAAGUAAAGGGUUCUUUGUAACAAUUUAUAAUAUUUUUUUUUUCCUUGAGAGAAGAUGAAUGUCUUUCCUUCAUUCCCCUGCUGUUUGAGAACUUCAGCAAGGAUAUCACAGGUGCUCCCUGCCCCUGUUGCAGUGUUGUCCUUCAUUUUGUGAUGCAUUAUGUAAAGGUGUGAGAGGCUGCAAACUUCAGGAGUCUAAAGCAAAAAACGAGGAUAUUUUUUACUAUCCAAGUUUCUACAAACUUAGCUGAGUUCCAAGCCAGGCUUACGACCUUGAGCUGCACCGCCACUGAGAUUAUCUCAGAUGAUUAAAGCAUGGUGCUAAUUAUGCCAAGGCUGUGAGGCCACUCACUUGAGUUGGACCUGCUGAUCCUUGUGGGUCAUCAAUAUUCAGUGAUCAGAAUAUUCUGUGAUUGCUAAAAACAAUUGGCUUGACAGGCAGAUGGAAUCAGCUCACUUUGUUCAGCAGCUCCUUCUAGAGCUGAGCAGGAACUUCACCAGCCUCAAAAUUAACUCAUAAACUGGCAUGUUCCAGGUGUCAUAGCAUGCCCUAAAAUGGGAAAUGUGUGUGAGAAGUUAUGCAUUUCAGUAGCUUACUGGUGAACUCUCAUAUGAAGACCUUUCAUAAAACCCCUUUCCUCUGGACACCAGGUGGUCUGAAAUCUGUAAAACUGAAGAUAGAUCUCAGUGUCUCUGUUCUGUAUGGAAGUAUAAUCCAUAAUGCUACUGGGAAGGUGAGAAAGGAGGAUGUCUGGGGUUUUUUGAGAGUUUUACAUUCCAAAUAGUUUUCAAAGAUGACUUGCACAACACUGGGAGUUCUGUCUCUGAGACACCACCAUGAUGAAUAACUAAAUAAGAUGUUUUUGUGAGCAAAGUCCUUUGUAAUGCAGACCCUUUAGAAAGCAAUAGAUCAGACUCCUGGCUGAUGUUCUCCACUAUCGUUCCAUGGCUUGAAUAUAAAUAUAUGCAUAUAUAUAUUUAAUACCUUCUGUGAUUUUUCUCUG